rfam:Saccharomonospora sp. LRS4.154 Saccharomonospora_sp154_contig5, whole genome shotgun sequence.
CGUCCGGUCCGACCCCCCGGGACCGGAUACCGGCGGCCCUCGCUCCUCCCCCUGGCGAGGGCCGCCACCC